rnacentral:tRNA from 1 species
GCAUUGGUGGUUCAGUGGUAGAACUCUUAUCUUCCAUGCAGGAGACAUGGGUUCAACUCCCAACCAAUGCA